UACGGGGGGAGCAAGCGUUGUUCGGAUUUACUGGGCGUAAAGGGCGCGUAGGCGGUCAGCACAAGUCAGUUGUGAAAUCUCCGGGCUUAACUCGGAAAGGUCAACUGAUACUGUGCGACUAGAGUGCAGAAGGGGCAACUGGAAUUCUCGGUGUAGCGGUGAAAUGCGUAGAUAUCUGGAGGAACACCGGUGGCGAAGGCGGCAUCCUGGACCGACACUGACGCUGAGGAGCGAAAGCCAGGGGAGCAAACGGG
rnacentral:rRNA from 1 species